AGAGUUUGAUCCUGGCUUAGGACGAACGCUGGCGGCGUGCUUAACACAUGCAAGUCGAGCGGAGAAUAUAGCAAUAUAUUCUUAGCGGCGGACGGGUGAGUAACGCGUGGGUAACCUGCCUUUUUACAGGGGGGAUAACACUGGGAAACUAGUGCUAAUACCGCAUAAAAUAGUGAAGUGGCAUCACUUUACUAUCAAAGGAGCAAUCCGGUAAAAGAUGGACCCGCGUCCGAUUAGCUAGUUGGAGGGUAACGGCCCACCAAGGCGACGAUCGGUAGCCGAACUGAGAGGUUGAUCGGCCACAUUGGGACUGAGACACGGCCCCAGACUCCUACGGGAGGCAGCAGGUGGGGAAUAUUGCGCAAAGUGGGGGAAACCCUGACGCAGCAACGCCGCGUGAAGGAUGUAAGGUUUUCGGAUUGUAAACUUCUUUGAGUUGGGGACGAUAAUGACGGUAACCCAAAAAACAAGCCACGGCUAACUACGUGCCAGCCGCAGC
rnacentral:rRNA from 1 species